GUUCCUGUUGAUCCUGCAGGAGACUGCUGCUAUCGGAGUUCGAGUAAAACAUGCAAGUCGGAGGAUUCCGCAAGGAGUCCAGGCGAACUGCUCAGUAGCACGUCAAUAAUCUGUCCUUAGGUCUGGGAUAACUUCGGGAAACUGAAGCUAAAACCGGAUAGGCAAGAAAAGUUGGAAUACUUUUUUGUUUAAAAGUAAUGCCUAAGGGUGAGUUGGCGGCCGAUUAGGUUGUUGGCGGUGUAAAGGACCACCAAGCCGAUAAUCGGUGGGGGCCUUGAGAGAGGUAGCCUCGAGAAGGGUACUGAGACACUGACCCUAGCCCUACGGGGUGCAGCAGUUGCGAAAACUUUGCAAUGCGCGCAAGCGUGACAAGGGAACUCUGAGUGCUCAGGCACUGCUUGGGCUUUUGCCAAGAGUAAAUAUCUUGGCGAAUAAGUGGUGGGUAAGACGGGUGCCAGCCGCCGCGGUAACA
rnacentral:rRNA from 1 species